AUACAGAGGGUGCGAGCGUUAAUCGGAAUUACUGGGCGUAAAGCGCGCGUAGGUGGUUAUGUAAGUCGGAUGUGAAAGCACCGGGCUUAACCUGGGAAUUGCAUUCGAAACUGCAUGGCUAGAGUCUGGUAGAGGGAAGUGGAAUUUCCGGUGUAGCGGUGAAAUGCGUAGAUAUCGGAAGGAACACCAGUGGCGAAGGCGGCUUCCUGGAUCAAGACUGACGCUGAGGUGCGAAAGCGUGGGUAGCAAACAGGAUUAGAAACCCCGGUAGUCC
rnacentral:rRNA from 1 species